UCGAUCUCAUCCUUCAACUGGAUGCACUGUUCGGUAUCGUAACUAUGGUCACAAUGAAACCAAUAGUAAUGCUUUCGAUUGUGAGAAGCUGACCACAACUUCAUCGGUUGAGAUCAUCGAAGGUAGCUCUCUCCCUCUAUCUUCAUAAGAAUCUACGCAUGAGGAAUAGUUAAAGGGGUGUAAGAGUUAUACCUGCUGUCAAAGUUUUUAGGCUUCGAACUUGGUCGGAGAGGUGGAGCCUCUCUCUCAGUA
rnacentral:lncRNA from 1 species